CCUACGGGAGGCAGCAGUGGGGAAUAUUGGACAAUGGGCGCAAGCCUGAUCCAGCCAUACCGCGUGUGUGAAGAAGGCCUUCGGGUUGUAAAGCACUUUAAGUAAGGAAGAAAAGUAUAUUGUUAAUACCAAUGUACCGUGACAU
rnacentral:rRNA from 1 species